rnacentral:lncRNA from 1 species
UAUACACAAAAAAGAGUUUUAUGUGAAAUUAAUAAAAUCGAAAAAUAAAGCAUCAAAUAACAAAAAAAUGCAUAUAUAUUAUGUUUAUAUAUUUGUUUAUUUUAGGUCAAACUCCCAAAAAACAGCCUACUACAAAUAAUCCAUCAUUACCAAAAAAAGAAAAUAAACCUGCAUCAAAAGUUAUUUUAUGUCUUUCAGAAUUAAGGUAAGAAAAAACAAUUUUAACGGUUUUAAAGUUAUUUCCAAAUUAACAUAUCUUUUUUUUUUUUUUUGUAUAUUUUUUUAUUUGUAUAUUUUUUUAUUUGUAUAUUUUUUUAUUUGUAUAUUUUUUUUAUUAUUUUUUUUUUUUUAGAGACAUAAAUAUGCCUGAAGUAGAAAAUGGAGAUAUCUAUUUUGUAUGUACAACAGUAUUUGACAACGAUGAUGUAAAACAGUCAAUGGAAACAUCAAAUUAUAAUUCAGAAAUGAUUAAAGGGCAAUUUUUAUUUCAAAAAUAUGUAGCCGAAUUUAGUGAAGAGAUUGUUUUAAACAUACCCGAUAAUUCUAAUUUUGUACGAUGUUAUGUGUCAGCACUCACAGUUAAAGAAGAAGAUGGAAAGAGAACCAUCAAGUUGGAAGGAAUAGGAUAUACUGAUCCUUUUAUAACAAAAUUUUGUCAAGUAUUUCCUUAUGCAAAAUGUAAACUAAACACAGCUGUCGGUGCCAAUGAGACACAAGGUAAUUUAAAAUUAUGUGUAAAAUGUGUAGAUAGCUCCCACCCAUCUGUAGUAAAAGCUUCUGAGCCAUUUAACAUAAUUCAGGAGUUAAAAAAAAUAUAUGAUUAAAAGAGAAAAUAGUAUUUAUAAAUUUAAAAAAAUAUGUUUUGCAAAUGUUUUUUUUUUAAAUAAUAUUUAAUAUGAAUAAAAAUAUUGAAGAUAAUUUAUGAUUUAAAAGA